rnacentral:lncRNA from 1 species
AGGUGGCUGGGAGUGCCGUGUGACCCUGCCCUGGGGGAGGCCUCAGGCCAGGGACCUGCAAAGCCAGCACCCAACCAAGUCGCCUAGAGCUUUACUAACGCUGAGGCAGCAGGUGCCAGCCAAGCCCUCCAUGACCCAGGGACCUGACCUGGCCUUGCUGCUCCCUCAUCUGCCCGCUGGGCCAGGCG